rnacentral:rRNA from 1 species
GACGAACGCUGGCGGCGUGCUUAACACAUGCAAGUCGAACGGUGAAGCGCCUUCCUUGUUAGUUGGUGUGGAGGAGUGGCGAACGGGUAAGUAACACUUGAGUAACCUGCCCCCUUCUUCAGGAUAACCGCAUGAAAGUGUGGCUAAUACGGGAUAUUCUGGGUCUGUGGCAUGGUGGGUCUGGGAAAGAUAUUGGUUCUGGGGUGGAUGGGCUCGCGGCCUAUCAGCUUGUUGGGGGGGUGAUGGCCUACCAAGGCGGUGACGGGUAGCCGGCCUGAGCGGGUGGACGGUCACACUGGGACUGCGGCACGGUCCGGACUCCUACGGGGGGCAGACGUGGGCAAUAUUGAACAAUGGGCGAAAGCCUGCUGCAGCGACGCGGCGUAAGGGAUGGCGGCGCUCGGGUUGUGAACCUCUUUCGGCAGUGAAGCAGGCCUGCCUCGUUUGUGGGUGGGUUGACGGUAGCUGGAUAAGAAGCGCCGGCUAACUACGUG